UACAGAGGGUGCGAGCGUUGUUCGGAAUCAUUGGGCGUAAAGAGCGUGUAGGCGGCCAGGUAGGUCUGCUGUGAAAACUCGAGGCUCAACCUCGAGACGUCGGCGGAAACCAUCUGGCUAGAGUCCGGAAGAGGAGAGUGGAAUUCCUGGUGUAGCGGUGAAAUGCGCAGAUAUCAGGAAGAACACCCGUGGCGAAGGCGGCUCUCUGGGACGGUACUGACGCUGAGACGCGAAAGCGUGGGGAGCGAACAGG
rnacentral:rRNA from 1 species